GACGAACGCUGGCGGCGUGCCUAAUACAUGCAAGUAGGACGCAGUUGCGAACGGGUGAGUAACGCGUAGGUAACUACCUAUUAGAGGGGGAUAACUAUUGGAAACGAUAGCUAAUACCGCAUACUAGUAGAUGGACCUGCGUUGUAUUAGCUAGUAGGUAGGGUAAUGGCCUACCUAGGCAAAGAUACAUAGCCGAGCUGGGAGGGUGGUCGGGCACACUGGGGCUGGGACACGGCCCAGACUCCUACGGGAGGCAGCAAGAGGGAAUCUUCGGCAAUUGGGGGAACGCUGACCGGGCAACGCCGGGGGAGGGGAGAAGGUUUUCGGAUCGUAAAGCGCUGUUGUUAAGGAAGCGGUACUUAACCAGAAAGGGACGGCUAACUACGUGCCAGCCGCCGCGGUAAUUC
rnacentral:rRNA from 1 species